rnacentral:lncRNA from 1 species
AGAGAACAUUAUUUCAUAUAAGAAAUUUCAUCCCUCAAUCAUGUGCUCAAAGAGAGGCCUUGAAAACAAAAUAAGAGAAUCAUAGACAGAGGAACAGACUGCUUUGCAAAAGAGUGACCCUCUCCUGACAGAUGUGGCUGCCAUGGGAAACCAGAGAGCAAGCAUGCUGUAGACUUAAUUGCACCGGUUUGCAGGAGGUAUUUGCACGCCUGCCAACAGCAUUUGUGAGCGAAAGAAUGAGAAUGCCAAGAUUGGAAGGUGGAGCAAAUGAAGGAAAGUGCUUCCUUGUUCUCAGGAACCUCCGGGUGAGCCCACACUCUCUGAGGAAAUACAGAACUCUGACUCCUGCAUGGCUGUGGUCUGCAACUGCUCAGGACCUCACCCCCUCUGCCCUCUCCUACCUUGCACCUACCCUAGCACAGGCACCUGGGCAACAUCCUGCUGGGUGACACUCUCUGGACCUGUGUGUAGGAAGACGGACUUGUGGGUUUAGAUUGAGCAGGAUUCAUCUCUGAUAGAAGCUGUCUCAUUCUCUGGAUUCCCACCUUCAGGUUCCAUCAGAGAAGACUGAUUUAGGCUCUGUCUGAAGGAGCAAUGAAGGGCCUUGGGUAGGAGACCUGACGUGAAUCCCUAACGCUCACACCAACCAUCCUGAGGCAGAGCUGGCCUCUUGUGUUAAUUCAGGAGAGCCGGCCAGGGCGCCAAAGCUGAUCUUCAGGGUGGCACCUUUAACUUUUUGUUGUGGUCCACAUAGUUGGUUAUCAGCAAAGAUUGUUUUGAAUGCAAGCAUUGAUUUGCGAAUGUCCUGUGGGUAAAUAAUGGGUGCAAUGUUAGCUGGUAAGGGCCUUAAGAGAAGGUUGCAUGUGCUCAAGUUCCAGUUCUUCAGAGUCUUAGAGGACCACUUUGCAUGACACCUUUCAUGUCAUGGAAACUAGGCACCUCCUGAAAUGGGGAUGGGAUACUUAAGAGGCAUCAUUCUUCACACUUGACUUCUCCACUUCCCCCAUCACUGGACACUUAGCUGCAGUCACAAUGGACCCAGACCUAUGACCAAUUUGGGAGAGGGGGCCAGCCAGUGGGAGUCAGAUUUCCAAAAUGGGAACAGAAUCUGAGCUCAAGUUACAGCUAAUUCAGUCUUGUUGCUGCUAUAGUCACUCUCACUGCCCUCUGGGCCAUUCUCCCACACUGUAGGUAGAAAGAUCGCUUCACAUUUAAACACGGUCCUGUUGCCUCCCUGGUUUAAAAUAUCCUUUGUCUACCCACUGGGCCUAGAAUACUGGUCAAACCCAUUAAAAUGGCCUACAAGGAUCCUCCCACACCUACCACUCCUUUGUUUCUGCCUCUUCCUUUCCUCAAACUUCAGCUCCAUUUCAUCAACAGGUCUUCUCUGACCUCUUGAUUAGAUCAGAUGCCAUCCCUACAUGUGUACUACCUGACACCCUCAAGGAGAGAAGAGCAUGAGGACAGGAGUCUCAUGGCUUGGCAAUCCACUGCAAGAACAGGCGACAGGUGUGGGUGUGCGCUGCAGGACAAGCACUGUACUGGUUGCUUACAGGCAUUACGAGUCUCACUUGUUGGCUGUAGGACCUAUGAGUUACAAGAACCAAGGCAUGGAGAAAUCAAGCAAUUUGCCCAGUUCAGUGGGAUCUGAAGUCUGGUGGUUCCAGAGCUUCUGCCCAUAGUCUUUAAGCCUGUGGUUCUCAGAGUGGGGUUCUUGGCACCAGUGGUAUCAGCACUGCUGGUACCUUGAGAGAAAUGCAGAUUCCCGGGCUCCACCCCAGAACUAAUGAGUCAGAAUCUCUGGGGUUGGGCCCUGUAAUCUGUGACCCAACCCAGCCUCCAGCUGAUUCCCAUGUUCCGUCAGGCUUGUGAACUCCAGUUCUGGGUCAUUUUUCCAUCUUGUCAUAGCUCCACAUCCUGGACACUUAAUAAAUGCCUGCAUAUGGAAGGGAGGCAGGGAGAGAGGGAGAAAGAAGGCAGGCAGGCAGGCAAGCCUCUUCUCAAAGAAUAUUCUGAAAUAAGUGGAUGGAGGACUGCUGUGGCUUGACCAUACUUUAAUCUCCAAAUUGCAAAAACAUUAACAUUAUUGAUUGAUCAGACAUCAAUCCAACAGAAAUUUAAUUAAAUUAGAAUGUGUCACCGAGCAGACCUGGCUGCAUCAUGCAUAAAUCUCAGGUAAUAAGUUGACAAAGAGGCAGCACCAUUGAUGCUCACCCUGGCUGAAUUUGGCCUGCAUCAUCUUCUCCUACUGUUGGCCUCCAGAGGCCUUGCACAUGCCUUAGGGAGAGUACAGGUGAAAUGGGGUGAAAUCCUGAUUCAUGGCACCCGUCAAGUCGCCAGUGGCUACGGUAUCUGAGAAAUUCCUUCCCUGUGUGAUUUACUUCUGCCUUGGGCCAGCCAAGCGGCAUUGGGGGGAUGCCUCUGGGUGAGCCCAGGCCUUGGGGAAAGUGCUGAGCUGGCUGAGAUCUCCUGGGUGAGGGGUUUAGCACUUGGGGUGUCCUCAUGACCAAUGUGUCCUUAGGAUGAAGCCAGAUCCUCAGAGGGCAGAAGACCUGCACUGGUGUGGCCUGUCUGCCCUCGCCUCAGGAAUGUAUUUUGGUGUCAGCGAGAUGCCGCAGCUGCUGUCCCAGAGACAGGUCUGGAGUGGCUCCAGUGCACUUGGCUCUGGGCCACCAGACCCUCAGCAUCUUAGGCACUGGGGGCAGCAGAGGAUGCCAGGAAGCCACAGACAGCGGUAACAUGGCCUCCUGCGCCUAGAGAGGUCUAAAUCCUUUAGGGUAAAGGAAGGGGUGCCUGAGGACAGGAAAAUCCAGGUGACAAAAAAAGAAAGCAGACUGUCCUGGGGUCAGGAAGGCUGUGUGGAAGAAACCCUUCUAACAGUGAUCUCUUGAACCCAACCUUCUUGCUUUCUUUGAUUUCCUUCAAUCAAUCCUGGGCUCACAUUUCCUUUGUAAAUGUCAUCUUCCUUGUAGGGAAUGAUGUUGUUUUGAUAGCACAUGUUUUGAAGAUGUCACAGUCUCUUCUAUGGCUGGCAUUUAUUCCGCAGCUCGCUGGUGAUGUACCCCAGGCUCUGGUCUACAGCAGAGGUCCACAAACUGCAGCCCAGCCAGGCCUGCCACCUGUUUUUAUAAAUAAAGUUUUAUUGGAACAUAGCCAUAUCUGUUUAUACCAUGUCCACGGUUGUUUCCAUGCCAUAAUAGCAGUAUCAAACAGUUGUAUCAGACAGAGUCUGGACCACAAAGUCAAAAAUAUUUAAUAUCUGUCCUUCUAUAGAAAAAGUUUGCAAUCCUCAUGGUAAAGAAAUGGUAAGUGGCUAAGAACAUAGGCUCAGGAUUCAGACAGGUUUGAACUUGAAGACCAUUUCUUCCACCCAUUAGCUAUGUAACCC